GGUGGUUUGUCGCGUUGUUCGUGAAAACCGGAGGCUCAACCUCUGGCGUGCGGGCGAUACGGGCAGACUUGAGUACUGCAGGGGAGACUGGAAUUCCUGGUGUACGGUGGAAUGCGCAGAUAUCAGGAGGAACACCGGUGGCGAAGGCGGGUCUCUGGGCAGUAACUGACGCUGAGGAGCGAAAGCGUGGGGAGCGAACAGGAUUAGAUACCCUGGUAGUCCACGCCGUAAACGGUGGGUACUAGGUGUGGGUUUCCUUCCUUGGGAUCCGUGCCGUAGCUAACGCAUUAAGUACCCCGCCUGGGGAGUACGGCCGCAAGGCUAAAACUCAAAGAAAUUGACGGGGGCCCGCACAAGCGGCGGAGCAUGUGGAUUAAUUCGAUGCAACGCGAAGAACCUUACCUGGGUUUGACAUGCACAGGACGCCGGCAGAGAUGUCGGUUCCCUUGUGGCCUGUGUGCAGGUUGUG
rnacentral:rRNA from 1 species